rnacentral:rRNA from 1 species
UGGGGAAUAUUGGACAAUGGGCGAAAGCCUGAUCCAGCCAUGCCGCGUGUGUGAAGAAGGUCUUCGGAUUGUAAAGCACUUUAAGUUGGGAGGAAGGGUUGUAGAUUAAUACUCUGCAAUUUUGACGUUACCGACAGAAUAAGCACCGGCUAACUCUGUGCCAGCAGCCGCGGUAAUACAGAGGGUGCAAGCGUUAAUCGGAAUUACUGGGCGUAAAGCGCGCGUAGGUGGUUAGUUAAGUUGGAUGUGAAAUCCCCGGGCUCAACCUGGGAACUGCAUUCAAAACUGACUGACUAGAGUAUGGUAGAGGGUGGUGAAUUUCCUGUGUAGCGGUGAAAUGCGUAGAUAUAGGAAGGAACACCAGUGGCGAAGGCGACCACCUGGACUGAUACUGACACUGAGGUGCGAAAGCGUGGGGAGCAAACA